rnacentral:rRNA from 2 species
UUGCUUCCCGCUGACGAGCGGCGGACGGGUGAGUAAUGCUUAGGAAUCUGCCCAGUAGUGGGGGAUAGCCCGGGGAAACCCGGAUUAAUACCGCAUACGUCCUACGGGAGAAAGCAGGGGAUCUUCGGACCUUGCGCUAUUGGAUGAGCCUAAGUCGGAUUAGCUAGUUGGUGGGGUAAAGGCCUACCAAGGCGACGAUCCGUAGCUGGUCUGAGAGGAUGAUCAGCCACAUCGGGACUGAGACACGGCCCGAACUCCUACGGGAGGCAGCAGUGGGGAAUAUUGGACAAUGGGGGCAACCCUGAUCCAGCCAUGCCGCGUGUGUGAAGAAGGCUUUCGGGUUGUAAAGCACUUUCAGUAGGGAGGAAAACCUUAUGGUUAAUACCCAUGAGGCUUGACGUUACCUACAGAAGAAGCACCGGCUAACUCCGUGCCAGCAGCCGCGGUAAUACGGAGGGUGCAAGCGUUAAUCGGAAUUACUGGGCGUAAAGCGCGCGUAGGUGGUUUGGUAAGCGAGAUGUGAAAGCCCCGGGCUUAACCUGGGAACGGCAUUUCGAACUGUCAGACUAGAGUGUGGUAGAGGGUA